UACGGAGGGGGCUAGCGUUGUUCGGAAUUACUGGGCGUAAAGCGCACGUAGGCGGCUUUGCAAGUUAGAGGUGAAAGCCCGGGGCUCAACUCCGGAAUUGCCUUUAAAACUGCAUCGCUAGAAUUGUGGAGAGGUAAGUGGAAUUCCGAGUGUAGAGGUGAAAUUCGUAGAUAUUCGGAAGAACACCAGUGGCGAAGGCGGCUCGCUGGGCAGUGGCUGACGCUGAGGCGCGACAGCGUGGGGAGCAAACAGG
rnacentral:rRNA from 1 species